UUAAGUUCAGCGGGUAGUCCUACCUGAUUUGAGAUCAAACGUUCAAGAAGCUGUCCUCUCUGAGGAGAGACAUCUGUGAGCUCCAGCGAACCUCCAUCGCUGAAGGUUACAUGGUGGACGACAACAAGCGUAGAUAGUUAUCACACCUGUGACGCCACCAAACACUGGCGAGCUGAUCCAUUUGAGAGGAGCCGACGCCA
rnacentral:misc_RNA from 1 species